ACAAGCUCAACGGGGUUAACAAUGGAUAAAUACAACAUUACGGAUGGCUAGAAAGGCUAAAGGGUGAAAACAAACAACGUGCCUCAGUGUGCGUCUUUGUAUUGUGAUGUAUCCGUAGAACUUACGCAAAAUUAGAGAGAUAAAGUCAUACCUGAAUACGCUCUUUUGUGUUUGGUUUUGUUGAAAUCUCACCAUGUUGGAUAAGCUUGCAAGCUCCAAACCACUCUUCAUGACAAACAACUUCUUUUUCAGCUUGGGUCUACC
rnacentral:lncRNA from 1 species